UUUCAAAUUGAAAUGGUAUGGAAUUACUUUAAUCUAUUUAAAUAGUAGUCUAAAACCUGUCCAAAUGAGACAGUCUGGUGUAUUAAAUACAGAAAGGUUUAAGAAAAGGAUAACAGAAUCAACCUGUAAGAUUAUCCUGCAUUUUAGCUUUGUCCACAUAAAGGAUAAAGUGUGGUUUAAUGUUUUCUAAUUGCUACAAAUGUCUUGCUUUCAUUUUAUUUAACCAAUAUCACUUCUCCAGCGGCUGGCGAAGUUAUGAGAUUCACCGUAAAACCAUAUCAGUUUGUGUUUACUGGACCAGAUUUAAACCUGUUUUUUUAUGUUUUAGAAAACUCUGUAUUGCAUUUUUUUUUUUCAGGAGAUACAGACAUUGUCAAGAUUCUCUUAGAGAAUGGAGCCAAUCCGUGUCUGAGGACAGUGCACGGAUGGACCGCUGCCCACUAUGCUGCAGAGUCCGGUCAUCUGGCUGCGCUGCGGAUGCUGCACACCUUCCAUGCACCAAUGGACAAAGAGGACUGCUGUGGAGACAAACCAAUAAGACUAGCCGAAAUAUACGGAAAAGAAGACUGCGUUCGAUUCCUUAAAAAAGCAGAGCUUGAGUACCAAGACUUCCGUGAGAAACUAUGUGAAGAAGGUAUUUUAAAUGACUCGGAUACGGAGUGGUUACAGCAAAGCAAAGAAUAUGAAGAAGACAUUGCUUUUAGAACGAGGAGAAAAACUAAGUCUAGACUCAGCUUUCACUAAAACAUCACUUUGGCAUGCAGGUCGAGUCUUUUGCUCCAUUUCUCUUCAAAUAUAUCAACUAAAACUUGAAGAAUUCAA